rnacentral:tRNA from 1 species
GUCUGAAUAGCUCAGUGGUCUAGAGCAGUCGCCCGAAAAAGCGAAAGACUCGGGUUCAACUCCCGAUCCAGCCA